AGGCGCGGCGAGGCGGGUGGCGCGCGGCAGCAGGGUUGGGCUCUCGCCGUGAGUCGACGAAGGGAGCGCGGGCGCGCGCCCGCGUCCGCGCACUGAGAGUCGCCUCGGCCGCUCGCUUUCUCGACUCCCGCCUCGCGCCUCGAUCCUGUUCCGCCUCCCUCGGCCCUCCUGCCCGCCCCCACUCGUCGGCCCUCAGGUUCCUGGAAAGUGAAAAUUUCAUUUCUUUGUGGACAGGUACCUAAAAUGUCUCAUUAUUCAUCAAUUAAUGAAAAACAAAUGAAAAUUUGAGAGAGAUAUUCUGAAGAAUAAAAGGAUCAAGUUGGGUCAUUUCUAAAAUCUCAGAGACCUAAUAGGAUGGGGUCUUAGAGAAACAUCUUUUGAGCCACAGACUUCUUUGUUACCAGAAGGAAAAUGAAAGAAGAAAUUUAAAUACCACUUGAAGAGAGGUGCUGCCCAGUUCAUGAGUGCUGCUGCUGUCCUGCCCAAGUACCCAGCUUGCAGAGUGCCAGAGUUAGAGUCCCAGGGGUGUUCUCCACAGCUGCAUGCUUGAUCCAGGCCUAUCAGCAUUGUCUUUGAAUAUUAGCAAAUAAUGGAACAUGGGCCAAGGGUGAACCAUGACGAAUUUGUGUUCCAGCAGCCCUGCUUCUUUAGAAUUGACAGUCUGGCUUCGUGGUUAAUUCACAGCAUCUGAGGAAUACAUCCAAAGAGGGUGAUACUGUGGCAUGAUGGUACCAGGAUUCCAAGUUCAUUCCAGAUCAUUGGGUAGAGACUAGAAAUGUACCGAGCAGUGCGCAAAGAAGAUGAGGAGGGUUCUACAGUUUCUCCAGAUACAUACCAUGACAAUUUGUUUUUUUAAAAAAGAAGAAAGCCUGCAGGAAAAAAUCUACAACUUUCAUCAAAUUACUCAGGGAGACUUUAUUCUAAAGAGACUGAAAACGACCAACAUCAAUUUUGACUCCUAUGGGCAUCUGUAAAUAGCUUCAAGGUUUUAAGGUGAAAUGUCAUGUACCAAAAUACACAUUCUGGAGAAGCAGGAAGCUACAGACCAACUUGAGAUGAAAGUCUCAUAUCAAUGUUUUCCCAAGUGUGCUCCUUGGAAUACAGGUUGACAUGAUAUGAUGCCCAGCAAGGGAAACAAAACAUAUUCAUGUUCAAAUUAGUUGGGGAAAUGCUGGACUAAAUAAGGUUUGAUGGGAUUCUUUUUUCUGCAGGACUUCUCAGAAGGGGCUAGAGUAGGCAAAGUUUCCCAGAUUUACCUAAUAAAAGCAUUGUUUCUGUGGGAGUUUCAUUUGUUAUUACAUGUUUCCUGAAUGCAGAUUCAUAGACUAUCCUUUGGGGAACCCUCGUCCUCACGGGAUGUAUGUUCAUGGUGGUGUCUUCGAGUUUGUGCCCUUGUGAAGCAUUCUGGCAGCAAGCAUCUGAACACUUCCAAAAGGGGGCGAUAUUUAGGAGAAAUCGCUCAGCCUGAGUUAGAACAAAUGCAGCUGCUGGUGUCUCUUGGUGCCUGGGAGCCCUAGAGUGUCAGAGGGAGGAGCGUGCACACUGGAACCAGCAGCCUGGUGCUGCGUCUCAGCUCUGUCGCUAACUGGCUAUGCACCUCUGGGCAUGGCACUUAACCCUUCUGAGCCCCAGCCCGCCAUCUGUAAAAAGGGCUUGAUGUGAGGAUUGAAUGAGAUCAUGCAGGGAACACAAUGUCUGGCACUUGGAAGCGUCCACCAUAAAGAGCCAAGGCAGUAGAUGGCCCAGCUGGGUUUGGUCCAGGCAGAGUUUACCCUCUGCCCUGGAGGCUCCAGGAAAUGCUGCCACGUGGCUCCUAUUGCCUUAACCACAUCCGACCUGUUCCUGACAGCUCCCCACAUCUCCAGCUCCUUUGCUGGUGCUCCAGGCACCUCCAAACGUGGCGAGCCCCUCUCCCCUGCCCUCUUGUGGCAGCUGACCUGGCAGGAGUGGGACCAAGACAUCCAAGGCAGCUCCUUUCCACCUGCAUGGGCACUUUCCUCAGGACAUCCUUGCCCCUGGCACCACCUUGGGCCAGCAAGCCACAUGGAAAUGGAUGCAGAGGCACCACUGUUUGCUGACAAUUAUACACUGUCCUUAAGGUCACCCUUGGCGAUCUGUCACCAGGAGCAGACAAACCCACACCUCAACCAUCCCAUCAGAGCUUGUUUCUAUCUGCAUCUGUCAUCGCUGAUCGCAUUUGAAUGGGUUUAGUCUCUAUUUUAAAUAAAAGAUUUAUGCCUUAGCUGUCAGAGCCUGCCUUUAUUUGAAAAUUUAAUCUUGUUUCUAGGAGUCUAGAUUAACUUAUUAGAUUUAGGCGUCCCUCGUGGGUCUCUGAGAGAGGAGGAGUAGAUUCUCCUCCCUGCAUUCGGCCCUGCACACCCGACAGUGAGAGCCAAGAGCUGGAUGGGCUUCUCCAUCCAGCACGCCCAGGCUGGACAGAGGCCCCCAACUCAGGCAACUUUGUCGGGUAACCGUGUGUCCAGGGAGUGCUUUCUUGCACGCUCCGUCUCCGGGCCAGCUUCCAGGACCUGUGCUCACUGCAAGGGACACCCAUCAAGCCGGCCCUUUCUCAGAGGUUUUGGGGAGGCUUCAGGAAGGACCCCCAGUGGGGGCCCAGCUUGUCAACAUGGGCUGUGCCAAGGAGUUCUGAGUUUCCUUCAGGUCUGUAUUGUAUCUUCCACCCCCUCAGAGCUCCCUCCCUACUGCUUAGACCACACGAAGCUGUGGGGCUGUGGGCAGCCAGUUCACUUCCCUGACCUUGUCUGCAGGUGGAGACAGUGGCAGUGCCCCUCCCGGGCUGCUGCGUCACUCAGUGUAAAAGCAGGGAGGCACUGGAGAGCUGCUGUCUGCAAGUUUGUUGCUACUUCAAAAGGUGCAGGUGGGCCCUCACCUCCUUUAGAGGUGAGGAUGAGCUACCCAAAGUGAAAAGGAGCUUCUCAGCGUCGCAAUGGAGUCACGGCCAGGCUGCCCACACCAGCCGUCCGGACCUGCACCAGUGCCACGGGGUCUGCCCCAUCUUCUCUUCCCUCUCCUUCCCCUCUCCCUCUCUCUCCCUGUCUCUUUCUCCUCUCUCCAUGCUAUUGACUGAAUGUUUGAAUUCCCUGCAAAUGCAUUCCUAACCCCCAAUGUGACUGUGUUUGGAGACAGGGUCUUUAGGAGGUAACUGAGGUUAAAUGAGGUUGUAAAGAUGGGGCCCUGAACCGAUGGGACUGGGGUCCUUAUGAGAAGAGGAAAAGGGGUCCCUCCCCAUGGAGGGACGACCACAGCGAGGCAGCAGCCGCCCACACGCCAGAGAAGGGGACUCAGACGGAAGCCUUGCUUCACCGGCACCUUGAUCUUG
ensembl:lncRNA novel transcript, antisense to CBLN1